rnacentral:tRNA from 1 species
CUCCUUAUAGCUCAGUGGUAGAGCAUUCGACUGUAAAUUUAGAGCCGUACUCGAGGGGCCGCUGGUUCGACUCCGGCUGAGGAGA